rnacentral:rRNA from 1 species
GCUUACACAUGCAAGUCGAGCGGUAACAUUUCUAGCUUGCUAGAAGAUGACGAGCGGCGGACGGGUGAGUAACGCGUAGGAAUCUGCCUAGUAGUGGGGGACAACAUGUGGAAACGCAUGCUAAUACCGCAUACGCCCUACGGGGGAAAGGAGGGGAUCUUCGGACCUUUCGCUAUUAGAUGAGCCUGCGUGAGAUUAGCUAGUUGGUGGGGUAAAGGCCUACCAAGGCGACGAUCUCUAGCUGGUCUGAGAGGAUGAUCAGCCACACUGGGACUGAGACACGGCCCAGACUCCUACGGGAGGCAGCAGUGGGGAAUAUUGGACAAUGGGCGCAAGCCUGAUCCAGCCAUGCCGCGUGUGUGAAGAAGGCCUUAGGGUUGUAAAGCACUUUCAGGAGUGAGGAAGGGUGUACGGUUAAUACCCGUAUAUUUUGACGUUAACUCCAGAAGAAGCACCGGCUAACUCUGUGCCAGCAGCCGCGGUAAUACAGAGGGUGCGAGCGUUAAUCGGAAUUACUGGGCGUAAAGCGCGCGUAGGCGGUUUGUUAAGUCGGAUGUGAAAUCCCAGGGCUCAACCUUGGAAUGGCACCCGAUACUGGCAGGCUA